rnacentral:lncRNA from 1 species
GGCGAAGAAUCUUGCAUCUUAUCAAGUGGGGAAAGCCUUCGCAACAAAGAUGCUGCUUGCUUUCAAGCAAUAAUAAUUUUCCAAUUCCAUAAGGUAGCUUAAUGCCUUUUAAGAAUAUCUGCACCAGCCUAACAAUUAAUCAUGGAAAUUCAAUUUGCAUUUAUCACCUUUAAUUUGCUCAUCUUUGUCUCGAGUAUUGUUUUUGCGUUAACUUAACUAGCUUGCAAACCACCUGCAAAUGGUUUUAAAUAAUGUGUGAGAUUGUGAGGUCGAACGAAUUAAUCAAAUAUGAUGACAGGAGAAACAAAAUUGAAAUAACCACAAGUAGAAGUAUACUUUUGUUAUAUUUAUAGCAUCUUCUACUGUCUUCUUUUCCUUUAGCUCUGUUUCUGUGUUUGCUCAAUCGCGAUGCCUCAAUCUUUUGCAGCCAUAUGCAGACUUGAAACACCGGGGUGUCCCUAAGGAACUUGAAAAUUAGAAAAGUUUCAGUAUGAGUGACUAAAUAUGAUAAUCGAAACUAAUUUAAUAUACACACCUUGUAAAUCUGAAACUAAAUUACUCAAAUGUAUAUGCCUCUUGGCAGCAAUUGCUCGUGGUGGAAAGUUUACUGCAAAGACUUCCUCAAACCUGUGAAGCUCACACACUUCCUGGCAACAAAGAAACAGAGUCAAUAUACGAAGAUGAUUUUACUAACAAGUGAGAGCUUGCAAAUAUUGGAAGGAUAACGAUUACUCAUAACCCAAAUACCCAAUACCUUCUAAUAUCUCACUCACGUGAGUUCAAGCUCCCAAAAUUCAUUACAGUGAAACUCUCACAACAUAAUUGUCUUCAAAUAUUCUCUACUCAACGAAUUAAUUAAAUAUGAUGACAGGAGAAACAAAAUUAAAAUAACCACAAGAAGUAGAAAUAUACUUUUGUUAUAUUCAGAGCAUCUCCUACUGUCUUCAUUUCCCUUAGCUCUGUUUCCUUUUGUGCUCGAACGCAAUGCCUCAAGGCUCAAGAUAAUUUGAUGACCAUCAAUCUUUUUGCAGCCACAUGUAGACUUGAAAAACUGUUGGCGGCCCUAAAGAACUUGAAAAUUAGAAAAGAUUCAGAAUGAGUGACUAAAUAUUAUAAUCGAAACUAAUUAAACAAACGCGCCUUGAAAAUCUGAAACUGAAUUACUCAAAUGUAUAUGCCCCUUCACAGCAAUUGCACGUGGUGGAUGUUGAGGUUGAUGUGGAAAGGACGUGGCUCCCGCGUAAAACCCACCGCUUCGUUCUAAACUAAGUGACUUUAUGUCGUGAGUUAAGUAGUUUAGGAGAUAACUCAAAUAAUUAAUUUUUUAUUAGUUCAGUAAUAAGAAUUUUCGAUUUUAUUUUAAAAGUAUAAUUCAUUACAAAAAAAAAUACUUAAUAAAAAUAACUGUUAUUGUUAUUGAACAUAUUACAUUUUUUCAAUAAUAAAAUAAUUCAAAAUUUUAAUUAUUAUAACAAUAAAAUUUGUAAUAUAAUCCAUUCAUAUACUACAUACAUCACAUAAAAUAUAAACUAGUACUAAGUAUAAUCAUGUUAUAACUAUUCUUAUAAUAUUCUAUUAAUCAUGUUAUAACUAUUCUUAUAAUAUUCUAUUACUAUCAUAUACUGUCAUUUUCCAUCCGGCAUGUCGAACGUGUAAAGUUUGAGUAAGAUUUAUUAAAGUUGAGUAACAUCUUGUAUGGUCAACGCGUCGAGUGUGGACUUGCAUGAUCGAGUCAGUACAACUAAAGUCGGGUAGAGUUUGGUAAAUCUCUAUAUUGUGUUGAGGUUGGACAACUAUACCUUUUAAGCUACAUAAUUAAACAAUUUAAGUAAAUAUUUGCUAUUUUGACUUAAAAUUUAAUUUGAUUUGAUCUCAUACUUUAUUAUUAAAAAACUUAUAAUAUUAAAUAUUAUAAUCGAAACUAAUUAAACAAACGCGCCUUGAAAAUCUGAAACUGAAUUACUCAAAUGUAUAUGCCCCUUCACAGCAAUUGCACGUGGUGGAUGUUGAGGUUGAUGUGGAAAGGACGUGGCUCCCGCGUAAAACCCACCGCUUCGUUCUAAACUAAGUGACUUUAUGUCGUGAGUUAAGUAGUUUAGGAGAUAACUCAAAUAAUUAAUUUUUUAUUAGUUCAGUAAUAAGAAUUUUCGAUUUUAUUUUAAAAGUAUAAUUCAUUACAAAAAAAAAUACUUAAUAAAAAUAACUGUUAUUGUUAUUGAACAUAUUACAUUUUUUCAAUAAUAAAAUAAUUCAAAAUUUUAAUUAUUAUAACAAUAAAAUUUGUAAUAUAAUCCAUUCAUAUACUACAUACAUCACAUAAAAUAUAAACUAGUACUAAGUAUAAUCAUGUUAUAACUAUUCUUAUAAUAUUCUAUUAAUCAUGUUAUAACUAUUCUUAUAAUAUUCUAUUAAUCAUGUUAUAACUAUUCUUAUAAUAUUCUAUUAAUCAUGUUAUAACUAUUCUUAUAAUAUUCUAUUAAUCAUGUUAUAACUAUUCUUAUAAUAUUCUAUUAAUCAUGUUAUAACUAUUCUUAUAAUAUUCUAUUAAUCAUGUUAUAACUAUUCUUAUAAUAUUCUAUUAAUCAUGUUAUAACUAUUCUUAUAAUAUUCUAUUAAUCAUGUUAUAACUAUUCUUAUAAUAUUCUAUUAAUCAUGUUAUAACUAUUCUUAUAAUAUUCUAUUAAUCAUGUUAUAACUAUUCUUAUAAUAUUCUAUUAAUCAUGUUAUAACUAUUCUUAUAAUAUUCUAUUAAUCAUGUUAUAACUAUUCUUAUAAUAUUCUAUUACUAUCAUAUACUGUCAUUUUCCAUCCGGCAUGUCGAACGUGUAAAGUUUGAGUAAGAUUUAUUAAAGUUGAGUAACAUCUUGUAUGGUCAACGCGUCGAGUGUGGACUUGCAUGAUCGAGUCAGUACAACUAAAGUCGGGUAGAGUUUGGUAAAUCUCUAUAUUGUGUUGAGGUUGGACAACUAUACCUUUUAAGCUACAUAAUUAAACAAUUUAAGUAAAUAUUUGCUAUUUUGACUUAAAAUUUAAUUUGAUUUGAUCUCAUACUUUAUUAUUAAAAAACUUAUAAUAUUUUUAUUAAUUUUAUUAAAUUAUUAUUUAAAAGUCAUACAUUUACUGCACAUUGUCAACUUUCUGUUAUUUUUUUUGUUCUCACAACAGCUAGUAAUAUCAAACAAGAGCUAAGUUAAGUUAUCAUCAAUUAAUUAAAGUUAUGAUUUUUUGUAUAAAUAAUCAUUAGAUAAUUAGUCUAUAAACAAUAUCGGCUACUUCAAUUGGAAACUUGUGAUCAAAAUUGUAUCACAGAAGUGACAAAGCCAACUAUGUGAGAAAUCUGAAACAGAAUUUGCAAAAUUGAACUGGGUUACAGAGAGUAAAUAAGACUCCAAAGGAACAUGGCAAUUAUUAUUAUCUAGGAAACAAUUCGUAGCUAAAACAAAAUUAACUAUACUUGCCAGGAAAAUUGGAAUAUACGACAUUGUAUCACAUAUAGUAUUUAGACAUCAAGAAGAGAAUCCCUCUAUCAGUGAACUAUACUUGCCAGGAAAUUAACACCAGACGAGUACCAACACCUACUAUUUCUUAGGUGUCUUAGAGUUUGAUGAGGACUUCCAUGCUGUCUCUUCGACAGGCAGCAAAGUUGGGCAAUUGACUACAUUAACUCCAACAAAUUUAUGCAGUCACUUUCCUCCGGACCAUCCUCUUUCUUCGCGCUUUAGUUGCCCUUAUUUACCCCUUAAAAGAGUCAACAUUAUCUUGUUUGACGCCAAGGAGACCAAGCCCAGAAACAAUGGCAUUCUUUGAUAUCAACCACCUGGGGACUUUUGAGCUAAGCCAUGACAUCCUGAGAUGGCCUGUUGUGUAAGCCUUCUUCAAAAGGUCAUCCGUUAAUCUUUCUCUUAAUUAGACAUUCAAAACCCUGCAUGGAAUCGAUUUGAGAAGUUGGACAAUAGACAAACUCCAACACAUAUAGACAGUAAAGAAGAAUUUAGACCGCAAUCACUGUGGCUCAACAAAUGGGCCUAUUAAGCCUAUUAAAAGUUGGAACCAUAUUCACCACUCGCAUUUCCUCUAGAGAGCUAUGUCAGAAUUCUGUAAAUUUAAAACUAUUCUUACAUAAUUAACUGUAAAACAAGAGAAAUUGUACUUCCGUAAGCAAAGUCUCACUAUUGGUAAGUAUCUGGACUUGGAAAGGAUGCUAGUUGAUUCAGUAAAGGAAAAUUGACAUCAAACUUUGAUGUGAUAGAAGAUAGAUAUAUACACUUCAAUAGGAACCACAUUAACAUCUUAUGAGACAAACAAACAAAUUCCCCAGUCAAAGUUCAACAAACAAAACAUUAAAGCAAGAGUAAUUUGGUCUAUCAAUGUAUACAUAGAGAUGUCGAUCAAUAGACAAAUACGUAAAAGGGGGAGGGAGAGACCUCAAAGUCGUGCUACUCCAAUAACUUCAAAAUUGUUGGUGACCGCUCUAUCAAAUCCACGCAAUAGUUGCGUACACUCACCGAUGGGUUUGUCACAGAUAACCUGUCAGACAUUAAAAAUUGCCCAAAUUAAAUGUUAGACCAGCUUAGACAGUAAACGGAACAAUAUUCUAAUUUUACUUUACUUAUAACGAAUAAGUGAACAAAGGAAUAAAAAGGAAGUUUGGCAAAGAAUCCCGCAGCUAAUCCCACCAGACACCGCUCUGCAGGCUUAUUCGGGAGUCAAAAUUCUCAAAAUGUACUAAGAAAUGACAUUUGUUUACUAAUCCCACCAACAAGGAGGAAGUGACGUGAAGAGAAUUUACUAAGAAAUGCCAGUGUAUUAAUAUUGAAGGAAAACAUUCACUGACGACCAAAAUCGCUGAUAUAUGCUUAAUUUCUCACUCACUAAGAACGUUCAAUUCAUUCAAAUGAAACUUCCACAGGAAGGUCUCAUUAUUAAGGCUUUAGCUUCACCUCACAUGCUCAAUAAUUCAAAUUUGAGGAUGAUAUUUCUCCAAAUGGAGGGCUCUAUUUGGCUUGCCAACAAUCUUACUCACAACUAUCAUCCUUGCUAUAUCGGUUGCACUGAGCAAUCUUCAUUCUGACAUUUGCCCUAUUAACCUGAGUACACAAGAAUCCGAAACAACUGUUAGAAAUUUUAAUCUUUAUAUAUAGCCAAAAUGGUGAAUAAGAUGAUGUACUGAUAAUAAAUACCUGAGUUAAUAAAUAAUUAAGGGGCCGGUAACAAUCUCAGCAUCUUAUCAAGUGGGGAAAGCCUUCGCAACGAAGAUGCUGCUUGCUUUCAAGCAAAUAACUUUCCAAUUCCAUAAGAUAGCUUAAUGCCCUUUUAAGAAUAUCUCCACCAGCCUAACAAUUAUUCAUGGAAAUCCAAUUUGCAUUUGUCGCCUUCAAUUUGCUCAUCUUUGUCUAGAGUAUUGUUUUUGCAUUAACUUAGCUAGCUUGCAAACCACCU